rnacentral:rRNA from 1 species
AUACGGAGGAUCCGAGCGUUAUCCGGAUUUAUUGGGUUUAAAGGGAGCGUAGGCGGACGCUUAAGUCAGUUGUGAAAGUCUGCGGCUCAACCGUAAAAUUGCAGUUGAUACUGGGUGUCUUGAGUACAGUAGAGGCAGGCGGAAUUCGUGGUGUAGCGGUGAAAUGCUUAGAUAGCACGAAGAACUCCGAUUGCGAAGGCAGCCUGCUAGACUGGAACUGACGCUGAUGCUCGAAAGUGUGGCUAUCAAACAGGAUUAGAUGCCCUGGUAGUCCACACAGUAAACGAUGAAUACUCGCUGUUUGCGAUAUACAGUAAGCGGUUAAGCGAAAGCGUUAAGUAUUCCACCUGGGGAGUACGCCGGCAACGGUGAAACUCAAAUGAAUUGACGGGG